CGGGAGGCAGCAGUGGGGAAUAUUGCACAAUGGGCGCAAGCCUGAUGCAGCCAUGCCGCGUGUGUGAAGAAGGCCUUCGGGUUGUAAAGCACUUUUGUCAGGGAAGAAAUCGUUCGGGCUAAUACCUCGGGCAGUUGACGGUACCUGAAGAAUAAGCACCGGCUAACUACGUGCCAGCAGCCGCGGUAAUACGUAGGGUGCAAGCGUUAAUCGGAAUUACUGGGCGUAAAGCGUGCGCAGGCGGUUGUGCAAGACAGAUGUGAAAUCCCCGGGCUCAACCUGGGAACUGCAUUUGUGACUGCAUGGCUUGAGUACGGCAGAGGGGGAUGGAAUUCCGCGUGUAGCAGUGAAAUGCGUAGAUAUGCGGAGGAACACCGAUGGCGAAGGCAGCCCCCUGGGCCAUGACUGACACUCAUGCACGAAAGCGUGGGGAGCAAACAGGAUUAGAUACCCUGGUAGUCCACACCGUAAACGAUGAAUGCCAGUCGUCGGAUAGUAUACUAUUCGGUGACACACCUAACGGAUUAAGCAUUCCGCCUGGGGAGUACGGUCGCAAGAUUAAAACUCAAAUAAAUUGACGGGGACCCGCACAAGCAGUGGAGCAUGUGGUUUAA
rnacentral:rRNA from 1 species